ACGCACGCUGGCGGCGUGCUUAACACCUGCCAGUCGAACGGUGAAGCGCCUUCCUUUUUGGUGGGUGUGGAUGAGUGGCGAACGGGUGAGUAACACGUGAGUAACCUGCCCCCUUCUUCUGGAUAACCGCAUGAGAGUGUGGCUAAUACGGGAUAUUCUGGGUCUGUCGCAUGAUGGGUCUGGGAAAGAUAUUGUUUCGGUGGGGGAUGGGCUCGCGGCCUAUCAGCUUGUUGGUGGGGUGAUGGCCUACCAAGGCGGUGACGGGUAGCCGGCCUGAGAGGGUGGACGGUCACACUGGGACUGAGACACGGCCCAGACUCCUACGGGAGGCAGCAGUGGGGAAUAUUGCACAAUGGGCGCAAGCCUGAUGCAGCGACGCCGCGGGAGGGAUGGAGGCCUUCGGGUUGUGAACCUCUUUCGCCAGUGAAGCAGGCCUGCCUCGUUUGUGGGUGGGUUGACGGUAGCUGGAUAAGAAGCGCCGGCUAACUACGUG
rnacentral:rRNA from 1 species